rnacentral:rRNA from 1 species
GAUGAACGCUGGCGGCGUGCCUAAUACAUGCAAGUCGAGCGAACGGACGGGAAGCUUGCUUCUCUGAUGUUAGCGGCGGACGGGUGAGUAACACGUAGAUAACCUACCUAUAAGACUGGGAUAACUUCGGGAAACCGGAGCUAAUACCGGAUAAUAUUUUGAACCGCAUGGUUCAAAAGUGAAAGACGGUCUUGCUGUCACUUAUAGAUGGAUCCGCGCUGCAUUAGCUAGUUGGUAAGGUAACGGCUUACCAAGGCAACGAUGCAUAGCCGACCUGAGAGGGUGAUCGGCAACACUGGAACUGAGACACGGUCCAGACUCCUACGGGAGGCAGCAGUAGGGAAUCUUCCGCAAUGGGCGAAAGCCUGACGGAGCAACGCCGCGUGAGUGAUGAAGGUCUUCGGAUCGUAAAACUCUGUUAUUAGGGAAGAACAUAUGUGUAAGUAACUGUGCACAUCUUGACGGUACCUAAUCAGAAAGCCACGGCUAACUACGUG